GUGCUGGCAGCAUGUAUCCUGUCAAUGGAACAGUACAGAGGAGAUAAGCAUGGUCCCUGCACAAGUGUGACAUGGCUUCAUGAAGCUGCUGGCCUGGUUUUC